UACAGAGGUCUCAAGCGUUGUUCGGAUUCAUUGGGCGUAAAGGGUGCGUAGGUGGCGCGGCAAGUCAGGUGUGAAAUCUCGGGGCUCAACCCCGAAACUGCACUUGAUACUGCCUUGCUCGAGUACUGGAGAGGAGACUGGAAUUUACGGUGUAGCAGUGAAAUGCGUAGAUAUCGUAAGGAAGACCAGUGGCGAAGGCGAGUCUCUGGACAGUUACUGACACUGAGGCACGAAGGCCAGGGGAGCAAACGGG
rnacentral:rRNA from 1 species